AUUGCACGCUGGCGGCAGGCCUAACACAUGCAAGUCGAACGAGUGGCGGACGGGUGAGUAAUGUCUGGGAAACUGCACGAUGGAGGGGGAUAACUACUGGAAACGGUAGCUAAUACCGCAUACCAUCGGAUGUGCCCAGAUGGGAUGAGCUAGUAGGUGGGGUAACGGCUCACCUAGGCGACGAUCCCUAGCUGGUCUGCUAGGAUGCCCAGCCACACUGGAACUGAGACACGGUCCAGAGUCCUACGGGAGGCAGCAGGGGGGAAUAUUGCACAAUGGGAGCAAUCCUGAUGCAGCCAUGCCGCGUGUAUGAAGAAGGCCUUCGGGUUGUAAAGUACUUUCAGCGAGGAGGCGUUACUCGCAGAAGAAGCACCGGCUAACUCCGUGCCAGCAGCCGCGGUAAUUC
rnacentral:rRNA from 1 species